rnacentral:rRNA from 1 species
CUACGGGACGCUCCAGCGAGGAAUAUUGCACAAUGGGGGGAACCCUGAUGCAGCAACGCCGCGUGGAGGAUGACGCAUUUCGGUGUGUAAACUCCUUUUAUAUGUCAAGAAAAUGACGGUAGCAUAUGAAUAAGCACCGGCUAACUCCGUGCCAGCAGCCGCGGUAAUACGGAGGGUGCAAGCGUUACUCGGAAUCACUGGGCGUAAAGGACGCGUAGGCGGGUUGGAAAGUCGGGUGUGAAAUCCUACAGCUUAACUGUAGAACUGCACUUGAAACUUCUAAUCUAGAGUAUGGGAGGGGGAGAUGGAAUUAGUGGUGUAGGGGUAAAAUCCGUAGAUAUCACUAGGAAUACCUAAAGCGAAGGCGAUCUCCUGGAACAUUACUGACGCUAAGGCGUGAAAGCGUGGGGAGCAAACAGGAUUAGAUACCCGAGUAGUC